GACGAACGCUGGCGGCGCGCCUAACACAUGCAAGUCGAACGAGCGAGAGGAGGUUUACUUUCUCAAGCGAGUGGCGAACGGGUGAGUAACGCGUGAGGAACCUGCCUCAAAGAUGGGGACAACAGUUGGAAACGACUGCUAAUACCGCAUAAGCCCACGACCCGGCAUCGGGGAGAGGGAAAAGGAGCAAUCCGCUUUGAGAUGGCCUCGCGUCCGAUUAGCUAGUUGGUGAGGUAAUGGCCCACCAAUGCGACGAGCGGUAGCCGGACUGAGGUGUUGAACGGCCAGAUUGGGACUGAGACCCGGACCAGACUCCUACGGGAGGCAGCAGUGGGGAAUAUUGCAGAAUGGGGCAAAACCUGACGCAGCGGCGCCGCGUGGAGGAAGAAGGUCUUCGGAUUGUAAACUCCUGUUGUUGAGGAAGAUAAUGACGGUACUCAACAAGGAAGUGACGGCUAACUACGUG
rnacentral:rRNA from 1 species